UACGGAGGGUGCAAGCGUUAUCCGGAUUCACUGGGUUUAAAGGGUGCGUAGGCGGGCAGGCAAGUCCGUGGUGAAAUCUCUGAGCUUAACUCAGAAACUGCCAUGGAUACUAUUUGUCUUGAAUAUUGUGGAGGUAAGCGGAAUAUGUCAUGUAGCGGUGAAAUGCUUAGAUAUGACAUAGAACACCAAUUGCGAAGGCAGCUGGCUACACAUAUAUUGACACUGAGGCUCGAAAGCGUGGGGAGCAAACAGG
rnacentral:rRNA from 1 species